AUUGAACGCUGGCGGCAUGCCUAACACAUGCAAGUCGAACGGCAGCACAGCAGUAGCAAUACUGUGGGUGGCGAGUGGCGGACGGGUGAGGAAUACGUCGGAACCUGCCCAGUCGUGGGGGAUAACUAGCCGAAAGGUUAGCUAAUACCGCAUACGACCGAGAGGUGAAAGCGGGGGACCGCAAGGCCUCGCGCGAUUGGAUGAGCCGACGUCGGAUUAGCUAGUUGGCGGGGUAAAGGCCCACCAAGGCGACGAUCCGUAGCUGGUCUGAGAGGAUGAUCAGCCACACUGGAACUGAGACACGGUCCAGACUCCUACGGGAGGCAGCAGUGGGGAAUAUUGGACAAUGGGCGCAAGCCUGAUCCAGCAAUGCCGCGUGUGUGAAGAAGGCCUCGGGUUGGUAAGACGUCUUUCGGUCCGGGAACGGAAAGUACGCAUGGGUUAAUACCCUCGUGCGGAGUGACGGUACC
rnacentral:rRNA from 1 species